rnacentral:rRNA from 1 species
ACGAACGCUGGCGGUGUGCUUCACACAUGCAAGUCGAACGGUAAGGCCCUUUCGGGGGUACCCGAGUGGCGAACGGGUGAGUAACACGUGAGUAACCUGCCCUCAUCUCUGGGAUAACAGUCGGAACCGGUUGCUAAUACUGGAUAUGAGCUUGCAAGGCAUCUUGUGGGUUGGAAAGAUUUUUUUGGUUGGGGAUGGACUCGCGGCCUAUCAGCUUGUUGGUGAGGUAGUGGCUCACCAAGGCUUCGACGGGUAGCCGGCCUGAGAGGGCGACCGGCCACAUUGGGACUGAGAUACGGCCCAAACUCCUACGGGAGGCAGCAGUGGGGAAUAUUGCACAAUGGACGGAAGUCUGAUGCAGCAACGCCGCGUGCGGGAUGACGGCCUUCGGGUUGUAAACCGCUUUCAAUUGUGACGAAGCUUUUUGUGACGGUAGCAGUAGAAGAAGCACCGGCUAACUACGUG